GGCAGAGGAAAGCAGGAGACUUGGUCAUCUGUCAAAAGCAUUCUCUGGCGAGAUGGCAGACAACCCUCCCAAAUUCCUUUUUAAAGAAGAAAAAUAAGCAGGUGAAUUGACAUUUCAGAUCCAUAUGGAAAGCCAAGCAGAGGAACAGAAAACAAAUCUCUCCAACUAGAAAGGGGCAGAAAACACAGACAGGAAGAAAGCAGUUAAGCUUGUGCACCUCUUCUGUCUCUUCCAGGACUUUGGCCAAACUGGCUUCUGCAGGCAACAACUGAAGAUGCUCUUCGGGAAAGGACAGGCUGUAAGGAGCCGCUGGGGAGGGGCAGAAAACCCGAGGGCUCCUAGAUAAGCCGCUGUUAACACGAUCCAUAUGGGCUAGGCUCUGACCUCAAGAAAAUGAGCAAGAUACCAAAAGGGUAAGUGUUCCUUUGCUUUGGAGAAAUACAUGUCCAGUAAACAGGAAGAAAACCUGGAUAUUGAUAUGUUGACUGGAGUAAUAAUUACCUUUCCCAGAAACAAAGAAAGAAAUUGCUCUGGAAUUAUGUACUUUAAGGAUGCUGGCAGCAAAAAGAGAUAAAUCUCUGAUCGAGUCUACUGUCCAAUCCUCCUUGAUUUCAGAGCACUCUAUAUACGCAGUCCUCAACAUACAACAGUUUGUUUAGUGACCAAAGUUAUGAAGACACUGAAAAAAGUGACUUAUUUUCCGUUUUUCACACUUAUAACUGGUGAAGCAUCCCUUAGUCAUGUAAUAAAAAUUAAAUAAAUGUUUGUAUAUCUUUUAUUAA